rnacentral:rRNA from 1 species
AACGUAGGUGGCGAGCGUUAUCCGGAAUUACUGGGCGUAAAGCGUGUGCAGGCGGGCUAGCAAGUGGUGUAUGAAGCUCCCGGCUCAACCGGGAAGGGUUAUGCCAGACUGCUAGUCUUGAGUGCGGUAGGGGAGUGUGGAAUUCCCGGUGGUAGCGGUGAAAUGCGCAGAUAUCGGGAGGAACACCAGUAGCGAAGGCGGCACUCUGGGCCGGUACUGACGCUGAGGGAGCGAAAGGCGUGGGGAGCGAACAGG